rnacentral:rRNA from 1 species
UACGUAGGGGGCAAGCGUUGUCCGGAUUUAUUGGGCGUAAAGAGCGUGUAGGCGGCCAAGCAGGUCCGCUGUGAAAACUCGAGGCUCAACCUCGAGACGUCGGUGGAAACCGUUUGGCUAGAGUCCGGAAGAGGAGAGUGGAAUUCCCGGUGUAGCGGUGAAAUGCGCAGAUAUCGGGGAAGAACACCCGUGGCGAAGGCGGCUCUCUGGAACGCAACUGACGCUGAGACGCGAAAGCGUGGGGAGCAAACAGG